rnacentral:rRNA from 1 species
UACGUAGGUGGCGAGCGUUAUCCGGAAUUAUUGGGCGUAAAGAGCGCGCAGGUGGUUGAUUAAGUCUGAUGUGAAAGUCCAUGGCUUAACCGUGGAGGGUCAUUGGAAACUGGUCGACUUGAGUGCAGAAGAGGGAAGUGGAAUUCCAUGUGUAGCGGUGAAAUGCGUAGAGAUAUGGAGGAACACCAGUGGCGAAGGCGGCUCUCUGGACUGUAACUGACGCUGAGGCACGAAAGCGUGGGGAGCAAACAGGAUUA